AAAAUCUAGUUAAUUAAUAACAUAAAAUUGUCAAUUUUAAAUAAGAUUUCAAAAAUUAUCUGUUUUU
rnacentral:tRNA from 1 species